rnacentral:rRNA from 1 species
UACAGAGGGGGCAAGCGUUGUUCGGAAUUACUGGGCGUAAAGGGCGCGUAGGCGGCCUGCUAAGUCGAACGUGAAAUCCCCAGGCUCAACCUGGGAACUGCGUCUGAUACUGGAUGGCUUGAAUCCGGGAGAGGGAUGCAGAAUUCCAGGUGUAGCGGUGAAAUGCGUAGAUAUCUGGAGGAAUACCGGUGGCGAAGGCGGCAUCCUGGACCAUAACUGACGCUGAGGCGCGAAAGCUAGGGGAGCAAACGGG